UUUUUUAUCCUCCAACCCACUGUAAAAGGGGAAAAGAAGACAAUAUUCUGAAGCCAGGUGCAGAUGUUGCUUUGCCAGUCAGGUUGGCAGACCUGACAGAUUGACAGAAUACCACUCGACGAGAAGCAUUUCAACACAGCAAUUACACAUGCAACAAUGGCAAUGCUGUUUUAACCACACACACACACACAUUGUGAUAGAGAGAGACAGAGAGAGGUAGAGUGUGAUAAAAAAGGAAAUACGCAAGUUGCAGCUGUCUGGGGGCCUCCCUUGACCAAUAUAUCAAAUGUCAGUUUGAGCUUUGGCAGCAUUUGGAUAUGUCCACGUGUUCAAACAUAUCUCACCGAAUGCAUGCUCAUGUUCCUUCAACCAGUCAGUAUCCGCCAGAGAACAUAAAUUUUAUCAGCAAAGCAUUCCACACCAAAAAACCCCUCAUCCCAGUCCCAAUGACCGUGUGAUUGUGAUGAAUGCGAACAGCAGUGGCAAGAGAGAGAGAGAGAGAGAGUGAGUGGCAUGAGAGAAAGUAUCAUGUGGCCAGGCAAACAAACAAAUAGACGCAAAAUCCCAAAUUAAUUUGCGCCAAGUGACCGAACCAGUCUCGGAUUGUCUCGUACUGUGUGUAAAACACAAAACUCUGGCAACCUCCGACGACCUCUCGUACUAGGUGGAGCUGGAUGGAUUGGAUUUCUUGAAUCUCUAGCACAAUCAGCAGGCAUAACUAAUGGCAAUGCAUAUAUCAGAGUCACACAUGAGCCACAACCCGGUCGGCCUAAUAAAAUACCUUCAUUAUGCACGUACAGCUUAAACAUGCAACAGGGCUAACAUGAACCGGAAUGGCCAAAAAAUUGCGGCCUCUUACCUUUUACCCAUGCGAGACCUAAUCGCAGGCCCUUUAUGCAAAUUCUACAUAUACAAUACAUAGUUGAAACAGGCUU